rnacentral:rRNA from 1 species
UUNUAGCGCGGUGGUCCCACCUGACCCCAUGCCGAACUCAGAAGUGAAACGCCGUAGCGCCGAUGGUAGUGUGGGGUCUCCCCAUGCGAGAGUAGGGAAC